AGAUAGUUUCUUAAAUUUGAUGC
rnacentral:siRNA from 1 species